AAGGAUCAUUAUUGAAUAAACUUGAGCAGGCUGUUGCUGUCUCCUCACUCCAAAGGGGGUGUACGUGCACGCUUGCCAUCUUUAUUUCUCCAACUGUGCACAUAUUGUAGACCUGGAAAGUUGAUUGAUUAUUUUUCGAGUUGGGACUGCUGUGCUCUUUGAAAAGAAUCAGCUUUGCCUUGCAUUUUCUGGGUCUAUGUCACUUUUACAAACCUUUGAAUCUGUUUAGAAUGUUGAAUCAGGUCCUUAUGUACCUAUAAAGUUAUAUAUACAACUUUCAGCAACGGAUCUCUUGGCUCUCGCAUCGAUGAAGAACGCAGCGAAAUGCGAUAAGUAAUGUGAAUUGCAGAAUUCAGUGAAUCAUCGAAUCUUUGAACGCAUCUUGCGCUCCUUGGUAUUCCGAGGAGCAUGCCUGUUUGAGUGUCAUUUAAGUUCUCAACCACAACAGAUUCUUUUCUGGUGUGGCUUGGAUGUGGGGGGAAUUUUUUUUGCAGGCUUUGGAAAUGAAGUCGGCUCCCCUGAAAUGCAUUAGUAGUAUCCGAGCAGAAAAACUACUACAGGUGUGAUAACUUAUCUAUGCCUUGGUAUUCUGCAUGAAUGGAUUGCACUGCUUACAACAAAUCUUUUGACAA
rnacentral:rRNA from 1 species